UAUUGGACAAUGGGGGAAACCCUGACGCAGCGACGCCGCGUGGGUGAGGAAGUCCUUCGGGAUGUAAAGCCCUUUUGCCGGGGACGAAGCAAGUGACGGUACCCGGCGAAUAAGCCCCGGCUAACUACGUGCCAGCAGCCGCGGUAAUACGUAGGGGGCGAGCGUUGUCCGGAUUUACUGGGCGUAAAGCGCGCGUAGGCGGAAGUGUAAGUGUGGCCUGAAAGCCCCCGGCUCAACCGGGGAGGGCGGCUGCAAGCUGCGCUUCUUGAGGGCGAUAGAGGAGUGUGGAAUUCCUGGUGUAGCGGUGAAAUGCGUAGAGAUCAGGAGGAACACCCGUGGCGAAGGCGGCACUCUGGGUCGACCCUGACGCUGAGGCGCGAAAGCGUGGGGAGCGAAC
rnacentral:rRNA from 1 species